GUCUGUACCAGUGUGGAACAUGCUCCCUCACCAACAGUCAUUGGGACCAUGGCUGUAAAGCAAUAUUUUUUAGAAGAAAAGGGCUUUUCUAAAUGGAAAUGUCUUCUACAACACAGACCUCACUGUUUGAGUUUCUGAGUUAAUAGCACGGCUAGUCUCUGAUGGGACAGCCCAGUGACAGAAGCGGCCUGUGGCUUGGAAGGGCUGAUGUGACGACUCUCUGCUGUGUAUCGUCUAAGGCUAAUUUUCAGGACAAUCUCAGAACUCCUUGGCCUGCACAGGCAGGCUCAAACUGAUCCUUUGAGUUGUCAUAUCCUCCUAAGUGCUACAAACCUCCCCCAGCCACAUGUCCCCAGCUUAUUGGCAUCAAAGUCACUGCUGUGCACACAUACUCAUUUAUUCCAUUACCGAGACACUCAAGGGACCUCGAGAAAGACAGUCACUCUUGUCGAAGAUGCUUUCGUGGAGAAACAGGAAAUAAUGAAGUAAACCAGAGAGCGGGUAAUCUAAUUGCCACUUCUGAUAAAUACCGUGAAGGAAAUAAACAGGAUAUUGUGGGAGAAAAUGUUUACGAAAGAUGUUCAUGGAAAGGUUUACUUGCCCUUUUAUUGUCUUUCCAGAAUUUUUUGAAUAGUUCUCCUUGUGUGCUUUUGGUACUGGGCUCUCUCUCUGAUUCACCUCUCCCUGGACUUGCUGCUUCUUCCUGUGACUGGAAUGCAGAGACCUUGAAAGCAAACAACUGGCCUGCUGUUAGCCGUGAUGGAAAUCUGUGACCACAAUCUUGGUGGGGCUUCCCAGAAUUCAAGCUGUGCUGAUCUGUGCAAGAAGGCUGAAGGGAGUUUGUGGCUUGGCAAGGUUUGCCUAAGGGAUUUCAGAACCAUAUAUUAAAAGUUAAAAACUGGAGAGACUUUUCUGGAUGUUCACCAUGUGCUAAAAUGGCCCAAGUAAGAUCCGAGGAGACUUAAUGGUCCAGCUGUAAGACGGAACAUAAACACAUCAAAAUGACGAGGGAGAGAAUGAAGAUAAAACCAACGGCGGCAGAAAGCAGCUGCAGACAGACGCUCGAGAGACAGCCAGUUGGCCAGGUUCAUUACAGGAGAGCAACUGAGGAUGGAAGAUUGAGGGAGGGCCCCGAGCAACACCAGUUGGGAGCAGAAGAGCCUCCUCCAUCAUCCCACAGAGAAUCAGAAAGGGAUUUACCCGAGGAGUUUUGCAUUCAGCAGCCUCACCAAGAGCAGCUUCUGCACCCCCUGGACUCCCAAAUGCUGAAUUGGUUUCCUGGUGCCUGUGGGCCUCAGUGGACAGAUUGGAUCAGUGUAUUGCAUAGAAUGAUAGACAGCAUGGAAGGAAAAAAGCACCAGGCACAUCCAUCAAUUUCAAUGUAAACCUCAACACUUCCAAGGGGCUGCUGUCUGAAGAGAGAGAGGACAGAGACAUGGUAAUUCCUGCAGGAGGCUGAAAGAAUGAAGUAGGAGAAGAGAACAAAAAAAAUAUCACGCUUACCUGAGUUGCCAAAUCACAGCAGAUGGUGGGAUCUAAAGGGAGAUAAACAUUAGAGCCUGGAAAGUAAGCAACUCAUCCUGUCAGCCUUGAAGGGCUGGUGCAGCUGAGAGAUCAGUUGAAGAACUAGAUGGAAUUCGUACCGCAGCGGUGAUGUUUGACAACAAUCAAGGCUGCCCAUCAGAAGGGUGAUGGAGAGGGAACCUGCGGAGGGGAGUGAGGUCCUUCAGUAAUGGGAAGCACUCCCCCAAAACUGCUUGGAGUUCAGAAGUCGGAGAUUAGGCAGGUGUAAGUAAUUGGAAGAAAAUAGAUCAUGCUGAAAGCAGGAACUAAUCGGCAGACAAACGAAGCAGCAUGUUUCUUCAGGUAGAUACAGAAAAGUCAGAUUGCCUUGGGCCAAGAGAGCAUCUCUAGAUAACCGGGUUAGUACCUCUGUAUUCUAGUGCUCCAGAUGUUAUACAUUAUAGCCCGAAGUCCUGGCUAGGCAGCUGUAGGAUGGCUUUGAGAGGCUGCCUCUUGCCCCUAGAUGCUUGUCCCAUCUCUUUGCACUGGUUCCUUUGGUCAUCAGCUCCCUUUCUCAUUUAUUCUCCUAAUCACUGCUUUGUUAAAUUUCUUAGAAUAAUAUUUCAGACACUAUGCUUAGUCCUGGAAAC